rnacentral:misc_RNA from 1 species
AACGCACAUUGCGCCCGGCAGUACUCUGCCGGGCAUGCCUGUUCGAGCGUCAUUUCAACCCUCAAGCCCUGCUUGGUGUUGGGGCCCUACGGCCGCCGUAGGCCCUGAAAGGAAGUGGCGGGCUCGCUACAACCCCGAGCGUAGUAACUCGUUGUCUCGCUUAGGGCGUUGGGCGGCGCCCCUGCCGUUAAAGACGAUCUUUAACCCCAAGGUUGACCUCGGAUCAGGUAGGAAUACCCGCUGAACUUAA